GAAGGCUGUACUGCUCUGACUUCAGCUCUGAGAUUAAACCCCUCACACCUGAGAGAACUGAAUCUGUCCUCUAAUAAUGUAGGAGACUCAGGAGUGAAGAGUCUCUCUGCUGUACUGGAGAAUCCUCACUGUAAACUGGAGAUACUGAGGUUGAGUGAUUGUGGUGUCUCAGAUGAAGGCUGUGCUGCUCUGACUUCAGCUCUGAGAUCAAACCCCUCACACUGAGAGAACUGAAUCUGUCCUAUAAUAAUGUAGGAGACUCAGCAGUGAAGCUGCUCUCUGCUCUUAAGGAUGAUAAACAUUACAAACUACAGACACUGAGGGUGUGAUGAACAUCUGUGUGUGUGAUGAAGACUCCGGUGUUCCUGCAUUUCACUGUUGUGGAAUGUUGAACACAUUAAUAAACACAUCACUCAUUUAAUUAUAACACAUUUAACAGACUCAGAGACGUGAGAAGUGUGUGUUCAUCAUGCACAGUGAAUCAGACUGCACACGAUUCCACACUGAGUGUAUAAUGACCUCUGACCCCUGGAUAAAAUUCCCCAGAUCUCAUUCUCAUAAAACACCUGAGGGAUUAUUAGGAACAGCAGGUGAAAAAGCACAUGAACACAAGCUGAACCCAGUCAGUGGAAGAGAGAGCUAAAAUGUACAGGAACAGUUUCAAGACAUUGGUGGAUUUCUCACCUGACAGGAUUGGCAUCUGAGGAGUUUAAUGAGUAUUUAACAGGAAUUUUAUAGCAAAAUCAUUUUGAACAUAAAUUUAUGUAUCAAUCAAAUAUAUUGUUCCACUGGGUAUUUUUGUAGAGAAAAGUAAAAAAUAUAAAUCACCCCAACAUGCUGAGUCAACAUCAUACCCCAACCUUGCUGAGAUAAAACAGCCCAGACUGAGUCGGUCCACAUUGUACCCAGCGCUGGAUUUCAGAAUCGACCCAAACUGGGUUCUGUUUAACUCAGAAAUUUUAGAGUGCACCUUUUUGAGGAGAUUCAACUGGGAAUGAGUGUAUAUGAGCACAAACACCUUAUUUCUGUUGUGUACCUUUUUAUAUGCUUCCCUCUCUCAUCUAUUUUAGGCAGGUCAGUAGUGGAAUCUUUUUUCAUGUGUACACUGUAGACUGGUUUUUGACUAAUUGAGAGCGUGCCUAAAUAAAAUGCCUUGUCCAUACUAACAUUUUCACCUUUUACAUUCAGUUAAUUCAAUUUUUCACUAACUAGACACUCAGUGGUCAUUGUGAUAUAAUCAUAUUUCCUGUUCUGGUUUGGACAAUACCCCAUAGCACACUUCUCUCUUUCAAUAUAGAGGGCAAUAUCUGGUUGGGCCACACAAGAUUUAAAAAGACGAACCCCACUUAACGUCUACAGUGAAGAAGGCUGUAGGGAGUGUGGUGCCUGAACGUAGCUUUUAAUCCAUUCGACCUGAGUUAGAAUCCACCUUUUGCCGAACUCGCUCUUCUCCCUUUUCCCAUCACAUAUCAGAUCUUAAAGGCAUUUAUUUUCAAUAAAAAUUAAGAAAAUAUUUGAAAAGUGGAAAUAAAGUGUCUAAUGACUGUUUAUUAAUAAUGUCUUUAUUGGUUAGGGGAAGGUGUAGGGAGGGCUUUGUUGUCCCAGUAAUUUUAAUAAAUAUAGCCAUUUACACUCUGUUUUUACUGCAAUGUACAAUAAUACUGCUAUUAAUAAAUGCUAUUUAUUUUCACUUAUUGUAAAUAGAAUAUAUCUCUACAUAACAUUGUGCCCAGGGGCCUCUGAAUUUUUAAUCUGGGCCUGGCUCAGGGCGAAUAUACAGCACAGCCUGUGUUUCUCUUUGUGUUAAUAUAAUUUAUGUGCUGGCUGGGAUAAAGCACCUGUUUAAUGAUGUACAUUAAAAUUUUAUUUUAGUAAAAGG